rnacentral:rRNA from 1 species
UACGUAAGUGGCGAACGUUGUGCGGAAUCACUGGGCUUAAAGGGCGCGUAGGCGGGCAAGCAAGUCUGGGGUGAAAUCUUUCGGCCCAACCGGAAAAGGGCCUCGGAAACUGCUUGUCUGGAGGAAGGUAGGGGUGUGUGGAACUUCCGGUGGAGCGGUGAAAUGCGUAGAUAUCGGAAGGAACGCCGGUGGCGAAAGAGACGCACUGGAACUGUUCUGACUAUGAGGCGCGAAAGCCAGGGGAGCAAACAGG